AUCACGGUCGAAUCAGUGUAACGUCGACCGUGGAACGCGAUGGAGAAACAGCCAACUCGAGGGUUUCAUCCGCGGAUACUAGGGGAUAACUGCAACCUCGAGUGUCGGACGCAAACACAGUUGCGCGAUUACGGGCUGCCACGCAUAAUAACCGAGGACUCGAGACACCGAUCGGAAACGAACGUCGUCGCACGGGGGACCGUUAGGCGUUUUCAUCGGUUAUUCCGGACAUCGAGACCGGCACUUCCUCCUCCGCGCACGCUGGAAGUCGAGAUUGAUCGGGGGCGUGUACGUGCCCGCGAUGCAACGGGAAGCUUUAACUGAUAUUUUUAUCGCCAUUCGUUGUCAACAGACUCGGGAAUAAUUCGAUUUCUCA